rnacentral:rRNA from 1 species
GAUGAACGCUGGCGGCGUGCCUAAUACAUGCAAGUCGAGCGAACAGACGAGGAGCUUGCUCCUCUGACGUUAGCGGCGGACGGGUGAGUAACACGUGGAUAACCUACCUAUAAGACUGGGAUAACUUCGGGAAACCGGAGCUAAUACCGGAUAAUAUAUUGAACCGCAUGGUUCAAUAGUGAAAGACGGUUUUGCUGUCACUUAUAGAUGGAUCCGCGCCGCAUUAGCUAGUUGGUAAGGUAACGGCUUACCAAGGCAACGAUGCGUAGCCGACCUGAGAGGGUGAUCGGCAACACUGGAACUGAGACACGGUCCAGACUCCUACGGGAGGCAGCAGUAGGGAAUCUUCCGCAAUGGGCGAAAGCCUGACGGAGCAACGCCGCGUGAGUGAUGAAGGUCUUCGGAUCGUAAAACUCUGUUAUUAGGGAAGAACAAAUGUGUAAGUAACGAUGCACGUCUGGACGGUACCUAAUCAGAAAGCCACGGCUAACUACGU